UGGGGAAUAUUGCACAAUGGGCGCAAGCCUGAUGCAGCCAUGCCGCGUGUAUGAAGAAGGCCUUCGGGUUGUAAAGUACUUUCAGCGGGGAGGAAGGGAGUAAAGUUAAUACCUUUGCUCAUUGACGUUACCCGCAGAAGAAGCACCGGCUAACUCCGUGCCAGCAGCCGCGGUAAUACGGAGGGUGCAAGCGUUAAUCGGAAUUACUGGGCGUAAAGCGCACGCAGGCGGUUUGUUAAGUCAGAUGUGAAAUCCCCGGGCUUAACCCGGGAAGUGCCUCUGAUACUGGUCAGCUAGAGUCGUGUAGAGGGGGGUAGAAUUCCAUGUGUAGCGGUGAAAUGCGUAGAGAUGUGGAGGAAUACCGGUGGCGAAGGCGGCCCCCUGGACAAAGACUGACGCUCAGGUGCGAAAGCGUGGGGAGCAAACAGG
rnacentral:rRNA from 1 species